rnacentral:lncRNA from 1 species
GGCUAUGGCCCCUGUCUGUCUAACCCACCAACCACUUCACUUGGUUGGUGACAGUGCCCCAUUCAAGGAAUCCUCACCUAACGUUCUUGCUUCUUUCAUUCUCCGAUGCAGACCCACACAACCAGACCCCCAAUGUCUUCCUUUAAAUAGACACAGUUACAAGAUCACUCUCAGCUUAGAACCUUCCAGAACCUUUGACUGUUGUUACAGAGUCUACCCAUCCCUCUGUCAAGCAAUCUUCCUGUUCUCUGAGGCAUUUACUACCCCUGGAGAACUUCCUGAGGACUUCUAUGUUGACAGCAAGAAGGGACCAACACAUCACUUGCACUUGCAUAUACAGGUUCCUGAAGUUUCAGACAUGGAAAAUUCUGGAGAAUCUCUUCAUCUCAUGCAUAUACCAGGUAGACGGAAGACAGAAGAAACAGGGCAAGAGGGAAGGUGCUGUUGGUCAAAUGACUGUCAUGUAAGCAAUGAGGAGUAGAGUUCAAUUCCCAGAACCCACCUAAAUUGCCACCUAUGGUGGCACUUGCUUUUCUAUGCCAGCACUGGGAGAAUGAAUACAAAAGAAUCCUCAUGGAGAUUUAAGGGCCAGCCAGAUGAGCCUAUAUGGUGAGUUCUUGGCUAGUGAAACACGGUCUCAAAAAUUAAGAUAGAGGGCCAGUAGUGUGGCUCAGUGGGUAGAGGUGCCAAUACUAGUGACCUAAGUCCAAGUUCUGAAAUUUAUGCACUGGGAGGAGAGAACCAGCUCUCAUAAAUUGUCCUUUGACCUCCAUAUGUACAUGGAACAUACGAUCUACCCAUUCAUCCACAAAAU